UCUACCCUUGUUAAUAUGCACUGCAUUGGGUGGUCAGUUGUAUGCCUUGUUGUUGUUGCACCACUUUCAUAACAAGAUGCACAAAGAUCGUAAUCGUAGCAAAUUAAACACUUAUAUCUGCGACCUCGAAAAUUUCCUUUUAAACAUGCAUCACAGCUGACACCUUUUUUUUUUUUUUUGAAAUGGAGUUUCACUCGUUGCC
rnacentral:lncRNA from 1 species